AAGUCGUAACAAGGUUUCCGUAGGUGAACCUGCGGAAGGAUCAUUAGUGAAUUAGAGCGUCUCUUCGGAGAGCUCAACCUUCAUUUUCCAACUCUGUGCACUAUUGGCGGACUAGUAAGCAAUUAUUAGUCCGCGGCUCAUUCUAAACAUUAGUUAUUGUAUGUAAAUAAAAAUAAAAUAAGAAAAACUUUCAACAACGGAUCUCUUGGCUCUCGCAUCGAUGAAGAACGCAGCGAAAUGUGAUAAGUAAUGUGAAUUGCAGAAUUCAGUGAAUCAUCGAAUCUUUGAACGCACCUUGCGCUCCCUGGUAUUCCGGGGAGCAUGUCUGUUUGAGUGUCAUGAACUCUUCAACCCACCGGUUUCUAGUGAACUGGCUGGUGUUUGGAUUCUGAGUGUUGCUGGCUUGCAAAAGCGAAGCUCACUCGUAAUUGAUUAGCAUCUCAUAUUCGAAAAUCGGAUUGACUCAGUGUAAUAGACUAUUCGCUGAGGANGCUUCCCUUGGGAGGNGGCCGAGUUUUGUAAAGNANAAGCUUCUAACCUACUAGUCAACUUUAGAUUAGACCUCAGAUCAGGCAGGAUUACCCGCUGAACUUAAGCAUAUCAAUAAGCGGAGGAAAAGAAACUAACAAGGAUUCCCCUAGUAACGGCGAGUGAAGCGGGAAAAGCUCAAAUUUGUAAUCUGGCACUUUCAGUGUCNGAGUUGUAAUCUCGAGAAGUGUUUUCCGCGCCGGACUGCAUACAAGUCUGUUGGAAUACAGCGUCAUAGUGGUGAGAACCCCGUAACUGAUGCAGAUGCCCGGUGCUUUGUGAUACACUUUCGAAGAGUCGAGUUGUUUGGGAAUGCAGCUCAAAUUGGGUGGUAAAUUCCAUCUAAAGCUAAAUAUUGGCGAGAGACCGAUAGCGAACAAGUACCGUGAGGGAAAGAUGAAAAGCACUUUGGAAAGAGAGUUAACAGUACGUGAAAUUGUUGGAAGGGAAACGAUUGAAGUCAGACUUGCUAUUUGGAGUUCAGCCGCAAGGUGUAUUCUUCAAUUUGCAGGCCAGCAUCAGUUUUUGGGGGUGGAAAAUCGUGAGUUGAAGGUAGCAGCCUAGCUGUGUUAUAGCUUCUCACUGGAUUCACCUUUGGGGACUGAGGAACGCAGUGUGCUUUUAGCAAUACCCUCGGGUAUUUCACACUUAGGAUGCUGGUGGAAUGGCUUUAAACGACC
rnacentral:rRNA from 1 species